rnacentral:rRNA from 1 species
GUGGGGAAUAUUGGACAAUGGGCGAAAGCCUGAUCCAGCCAUGCCGCGUGAGUGAUGAAGGCCUUAGGGUUGUAAAGCUCUUUCAGUAGGGAAGAUAAUGACGGUACCUACAGAAGAAGCCCCGGCUAACUUCGUGCCAGCAGCCGCGGUAAUACGAAGGGGGCUAGCGUUGUUCGGAUUUACUGGGCGUAAAGCGCACGUAGGCGGAUCGUUAAGUCGGGGGUGAAAUCCUGGAGCUCAACUCCAGAACUGCCUUCGAUACUGGCGAUCUUGAGUCCGGAAGAGGUGAGUGGAACUCCUAGUGUAGAGGUGGAAUUCGUAGAUAUUAGGAAGAACACCAGUGGCGAAGGCGGCUCACUGGUCCGGUACUGACGCUGAGGUGCGAAAGCGUGGGGAGCAAACAGGAUUAGAAACCCGAGUAGUCC